GCACAAGGCCCUAACCUGAAGAGCCUCGUAAGUUUUGUCUAAAUCCAACCCAAAGAAAACUCGGACACUAGUACGGUAAUUAGUCAUUUGCGUCAAUAAAAGCUUACAAAUAUUAUUGUGCUUUCGCAUGUAUGCCAUUUAUUUGUUUCCAUAUCAGAAUCAAAGCAACAGUUCACAAGCAUCUUAGAGCUUACCAGUUAAUGAGAUUUAGCGUCUGAGGCAUUAUCCCGAGAGAG
rnacentral:lncRNA from 1 species